UUCCUUAAAUAAACGUUAACAGAAAAUGUACAUUAUUGCUAAGCACAAAUUCGAAGUGGAAGACAAAGACGAGAUCAGCUUGUGAAUUCGGCAUUUCCGUUAAAGCAAUCAAAGUUUUCCAAGGACGUAGUUAAUACAUAUUUGUAGUAAUAAUUAUUAUAUCCUGUCCCAAGUGGAGGAGUUUAAGUAUCUUGGGGUCUUGUUCACAAGGGAAGGAAGAAUGGAGCGGGAGACAGAUGGAUCAGUGCAACGUCUGCAGUGAUGUGGACUUUGUAUCGGUCCGUUGUGGUGAAGAGGGAGCUAAGUCGAAAGGGGAAGCUCUCAAUUCACCAGUCGAUCUAUGUUCUUACCCUCACCUAUGGGCACAGGCUGUGGGUCAUGACCGAAAGAACAAGAACCCGGAAACAAGCGACCAAAAUGAGUUUCCUCCGCAGGGCGUCCCGUCUCUCCCUUAGUGAUAGGGUGAGAAACUCGGUCAUCCGGGAGGGGCUCAGUGUCGACCCACUGCUCCUCUGCAUUGAGAUGAACCAGAUGAGGUGGCUGAGACAUCUGAUCCAGAUACCUCCCUGACGCCUUCCUGGUGAGGUGUUUCAGGUAUGUCCCACCGAAAAGGGACGGCCCAGGACAUGCUGGAGAGACUAUGUCUCUCAGCUGGCUUGGGAACGCCUCGGGGUCCCUCCGGAAGAGCUGGAAGAAGUGGCUGGAGAAAGGCAAGUCUGGGUAUCCCUGCUGAAGUACAUCCCCCAUGAACCGCCCCGGAGAAGCGAUAGAAAAUAGAUAGAUGGAUUAUUAUACAGACACAUGUGUCUCCCCUAACAUUUGAGCAUCCAGGUAGUUUAGUGUUAAUGGUUCUCGGUUCUGACUUGCGACUGACUGGAGACCAUUUGAGGGCGUAACCUGCCUCUCGCUCGAAGUCCCUUAGGAUAAAGAUCAGCUCACCCACCAGACAAAGAAGAAAAUCCCUCAAUUCUUUCAAAGAAAGAGUGAGGAAUUAGUUUUCUUUCAGACAGAAAACUUUACCUCAAUUCCCCCCUGGCAUCCAGUUGCGCAAAGGUUCAAGGUUAAUGAACGUCGUGGCUUGGAUUUAUUAAUGAAUAACUGUCAAGAAUGCCCUCGAGGAUAAAGCUCAGGCCAAUGACGGAUGAGCGUGAUGAAAACCACAAGCCACAUCGGCUUCAAAAGUAACAUUUUAAUCAGUGUAGUUAAUAAUUGAAGGUCAGCAUGAGUAGCUUCAUUGAGCUCUCGAGUGUGUGUGUGUGUGUGUGUGUGUGCAUGUAAGGGGGGGACAUCAAAAACAAAAAGAGGCCCUUAAAGUUUUAAUUGAAGAUUUCAACUCAAUUCCAUCCAUCCAUAACUUUCGGCUUGUCCCUUUCGGGGUCGCCACAGCGUGUCAUCUCAGAUGAACGCACAUAUGUUUGGCACAAUUUUUACGCCGGAUGCCCUUCCUGACGCAACCCUUCUCAGGGAGUGGAGGCCCCAGUGGAAUCGUUACUACUCCCUCCUUCCCAAGUAUGGUUGCACAAUAUAGUGCAAGAGAGGAUUCUAUAAACAAAUACCUGUAAUCUUGUUUUUCUUUGCAGAAAAGUUAAGAGCUUUUAUAUAAAAAAAAAACAAUAUAAAAAAUUUUGGGGAAACUUUAAACAUAUAUAGAGCACUCACUAGUUAGGCAGCACACAAAAAAAUGGCGUAACCACGAUAAAGAGUAAUUUGGACACAGCCGAUAACUGCUUUUUAAAAUGCAGCCGGGAAGCAAACUGUGAGUUUCGAAAGCUGCUCCCCUCAACUGGAUCCAUUCCAAAAUUCAACCAGUCUCAAUUCAUUUCAUGCAAAGACCCUUCAAAGCACACCCACAUCAUUUACACAUCAUCAUUUUACUGAACAAACAUGACCUAACGCGAUGCGCUUUGAGUUACUGUAUGUCUUUAAUUCAUCACCAAUGAACUGCAAAGUGCGAAAGGAUCGCCAGCCGCUGUCACCUGUCAUGCGCAUUGUCUCCGCAGUUUGACCCAAUCGUUACGUAAACACAAGAGGAAAAAAUGUCGUCGCCGAAAGGUGCCGAAAUUGACCUCGAUGCAGACUUUAAUUAUGACUAUGAAACACUGCGCACAGUCGGCCUGGCCAUUACCGGAGUCAUCGUAUUCCUUUCUAUCCUUUUGCUGACAGGGAGAAAGUUUCGUCACUGUGUAAGUAAGUCACGACACAACGAUGAAGACUGAAGUGAUGUGAACAAGAGACGAUGGGAUGUACUGGUGACUGUCCAGUGGAGUAUCAGAAUAUUUGUAAAAAAUAAAUAAAACAUUUAUGGAACCAUGA